AAGGGUAAAGGGCAUAACUGCUCGCCAAGGGAGGGGCCUGCGGCCUAUCAGGUAGUUGGUGUGGUAAUGGCUCACCAAGCCUAUGACGGGUAGCUGACCUUAUGAGGGUGAACAGCCAGAAGAGCACUGAGACACGGGCUCUACACCUACGGGUGGCAGCAAUCAAGAAUCGUUGGCAAUGGGCGAAAGCCUGACCACGCGACACCGCGUGUAGGAUGAAGCCUUUCGGGGUGUAAACUACUGUGGCGAGGGAAAAAGUCUCGUUUUUCGGGAUUGAUGGUACCUCGCUAGAAAGAAGCCGCUAACUUCGUGCCAGAAGCGUCGGUGAUACGGGGGCUUCAAGCGUUAUCCGGUGUGACUGGGCGUGAAGAGUCUGUAGG
rnacentral:rRNA from 1 species